rnacentral:lncRNA from 1 species
UCUGAGUUUUGAUGAUCAGAAUGCCUAUUUCCCCUGCGAUUUUUGGCAUUUGGUUUUGAUUACACCUUAACUGUGGAUGUAUGAAAUUCAGAAGAGGAUUUUAGUUUUCAGAAGCAGGUUUGAUAUGUUAAAACACGAAUACCAUAUUGCUUGUAUAGAGUCUGAUUUUGCUAGCAGCAGUAAUGGAGAUUGGUGAGCAAAAACAACCUCACGUCUCUUCGUAAAUAUAAUCAAAGUACUGAAAUAAUGGAACAA